rnacentral:rRNA from 1 species
CGUAAAGAGCUCGUAGGUGGUUUGUCGCGUUGUUCGUGAAAUCUCACGGCUUAACUGUGAGCGUGCGGGCGAUACGGGCAGACUAGAGUACUGCAGGGGAGACUGGAAUUCCUGGUGUAGCGGUGGAAUGCGCAGAUAUCAGGAGGAACACCGGUGGCGAAGGCGGGUCUCUGGGCAGUAACUGACGCUGAGGAGCGAAAGCGUGGGGAGCGAACAGGAUUAGAUGCCCUGGUAGUCCACGCCGUAAACGGUGGGUACUAGGUGUGGGUUUCCUUCCUUGGGAUCCGUGCCGUAGCUAACGCAUUAAGUACCCCGCCUGGGGAGUACGGCCGCAAAGCUAAAACUCAAAGGAAUUGACGGGGGCCCGCACAAGCGGCGGAGCAUGUGGAUUAAUUCGAUGCAACGCGAAGAACCUUACCUGGGUUUGACAUGCACAGGACGCGUCUAGAGAUAGGCGUUCCCUUGUGGCCUGUGUGCAGGUGGUGCAUGGCUGUCGUCAGCUCGUGUCGUGAGAUGUUGGGUUAAGUCCCGCAACGAGCGCAACCCUUGUCUCAUGUUGCCAGCGGGUAAUGCCGGAGACUCGUGAGAGACUGCCGGGGUCAACUCGGAGGAAGGUGGGGAUGACGUCAAGUCAUCAUGCCCCUUAUGUCCAGGGCUUCACACACGCUACAAUGGCCGGUACAAAGGGCUGCGAUGCCGUAAGGUUAAGCGAAUCCUUUUAAAGCCGGUCUCAGUUCGGAUUGGGGUCUGCAACUCGACCCCAUGAAGUCGGAGUCGCUAGUAAU